GACGAACCGAGCGAACGUUGUUCGGAAUCACUGGGCUUAAAGCGUGUGUAGGCGGAUCGGUAAGUACCUUGUGAAAUCCCACAGCUUAACUGUGGAACUGCUUGGUAUACUGCCAGUCUUGAGCCACUUAGGGGCUACCGGAACAAAUGGUGGAGCGGUGAAAUGCGUAGAUAUCAUUUGGAACGCCAAUGGUGAAAACAGGUAGCUGGGAGUGUGCUGACGCUGAGACACGAAAGCCAGGGGAGCAAACGGG
rnacentral:rRNA from 1 species